rnacentral:rRNA from 1 species
CAAACGACUCUCGGCAACGGAUAUCUCGGCUCACGCAUCGAUGAAGAACGUAGCAAAAUGCGAUACUUGGUGUGAAUUGCAGAAUCCCGUGAACCAUCGAGUUUUUGAACGCAAGUUGCGCCCGAAGCCUUUUGGCCGAGGGCACGUCUGCCUGGGCGUCACA